AUUGAACGCUGGCGGAAUGCUUUACACAUGCAAGUCGAACGGCAGCACGGGAGCUUGCUCCUGGUGGCGAGUGGCGGACGGGUGAGUAAUAUAUCGGAACGUACCUUUUAAUGGGGGAUAACUAGUCGAAAGAAUAGCUAAUACCGCAUAAGCCCUGAGGGGGAAAGCGGGGGAUCGUAAGACCUCGCGUUAUUAGAGCGGCCGAUAUCUGAUUAGCUAGUUGGUGAGGUAAAGGCUCACCAAGGCGACGAUCAGUAGCUGGUCUGAGAGGACGACCAGCCACACUGGAACUGAGACACGGUCCAGACUCCUACGGGUGGCAG
rnacentral:rRNA from 1 species